UACCACAGCAGAGUUAGCUCCUAAUUUCCUCCCCAGAAUCUCUUUCUUUCUUUCUCUCUUUCUUUCUGGCAGUCUGUGGUAAACUCGCUGACUUUAAGCUGAGCUGGAUGAUCUGGACUUACAUGCCUGCCGCAACAAACACACAGAGAGAGAGAGAGAGAGGUACCUGUUUUUUGCACAAUGACGAAGUUUUUUGAAUGGAAUAUUUGAGCUGCAUUUGAUCGUUCCAACACUUCAUAUGAGACGAAGAGUGAAAAUUCAGAAGUCUGGGGAAGAAGGUAAUUGUGCACAGUGGAGAUGUUGUCCUCUUUGCAAAUUCUCCAUAUUUACUAAAACAUUGAGCAUUCACUAGUUUGUCCAAAAACACAUUUACAUGUUUGUGUAAAAUCUCCUGUCAGGUCUUUGUGGUGACUUGUUUUGUUUUGUCGAAGAGACUUCCAGGAAAAUCCUUAAACUGUUAUUUCAAACUGAGAAAUCACUGAUAGCACGGCUGACAGGGGAUACGAGGUCGCUCACUGAGUCAGUACAUGAACCACACUGUUUGAACCUUGCUGUUUGAAAAAGCACAUAUAAUACUUGUGGGAAAUAUAUUCACUGUCUUGCUUGGAAGAUUGAUAUUACUUUAUGUCUCUGGAAAGUCGAAGUAGAGGGUGACAACCAACAACCAGCGAUCUAAGGCCAACACCUGGUUACCUUACCUGUGCCUACUCAUUAACUAUCUGUGGUUGACAAGUAUUGAGAAAAAUAAAAAAUACAUUUUGGGCUCUACUGAAUGUGAAUGUUAGCUUUUGUCUACUGAUAGCUAAUAUGUUAAAAAAAAAUACCCAUGUGUCUCUGGAUUUCCACUAUCCAUUAAUUUUCUGAUCAAUCGAGUAAAGCUUAAAAACAAGAUUUCUCGUUACAAUACAAUUCAACUCCUGGAACACAGCAACAGGCGGCACUAGGAACGUGGGUUGGGAACCAGAGUCCCAAGUCCCAACACGGACCAAAAUAUGGAAGUUGGAAGUCUGGUAGCUCUCCAGCUACCAGAUCACUUCCUGAGUAACACACAGAACCCCCCUACACCUCUGGCUGUCUGGUGUGCUCCCUACGUAGCAGCCCCAUUCUGACAUCUCUCCACUAAUGCAUGUCCACAGGUCCUGUUAGUGCAUGUGAGAAGCUUGUCUCUUAAUAACAGAGUUUAAACCAGAAUGUUCUUCAGUAUGAAAAAUAAAGGAAAGUGCUCAGCAUCUAAGGAUGAGAGUGUAACAACAAAUAACUUCAGUGAUUUCAAAGAUUGGUAGUAAGGACAUUUUACUUUCCGUUGUUUGAGGUUGUUGUUUUUUUUUUUUUUGCCUUUCAGGAUCUGUUUUACAAUCCAGCAGCUCUUAUCAAGCCCUAAAAAAAAAAAAAAAUUAGAUAAUGAGCUCAGGACUCGAUUAGGACACUAUACAGUGACCCAGAUUAGUGAUCAAGUCUCCUGUACGUCUGUCAAAUGCAGAAGUCAUAAAAGGACAUUAUGGAGUUCUCAGUGGUGGGAGGCUCUGAGCAGAGCACCUGAUAGAGAAAGGAACUGAGAAAUGCUGAAAUGAUAAGUGCACUGUCAUAUCCAACCCUGGGAACAAAAUGUGACCUCUUCAUGAUCCUGAGAGCUUACUCAGGAUUUCUUCAUCAAGAUUUAAGAGUCUGCUGAAUCCGGCCUGACUUUACAGCGUCAAUAAUGUCACUUUUCAAGGUCGUGUUCGCACAGGAAAAAAAGUUUAUGGCAAAGAUUUCCAAGAACCGAAUCAGAAGCUGAAUAUAUGACUCACCUCAUCAGCUACAUGACAUCCAUGCAGCAUUUCAGGCCAAGAAUUCAAAAUGAUCAAUUUGGCAUCACAAGAUGUGUGUCAGAGUUCAGCUGCUUAUACAACGAGAAACAUCCUUUACAUACAUAACCCUAAACUGCAGCUAUACUGAAUUACAUCACAGACGAUCAAGACAGGCCGUCAGCUUGGUCUCUGGAAGACACACUGGUGUUGAGUAACAGAAGUUAGAAAUCAUCGAGGCAGACGGUUAUAAGGAAGGAAAUCAGAAUUUUAUUAAAAUUUAAAGUGUAGAAAAAUGUUCUUACAGUGAGUGUAGAAAGUAAACAUCACAAACCAUUGGACCUUUGAAAGAUUGUAAAUCAGAUGUUGUUUUUUUUACACUGGCCAAAAAGAAAAGAAAGAUAAACAUAAGUGAUGAGUCAGUCUGUGACAUACCAAGAAGUACACUGCUGCAGCCAGUUGUUAUAUUUUCUAUGAAGUUAGACUUUAAAAAUGUGGGUUUAAUGAAAGCAUGGCGGAUACAUUUAGGUAGUGUGCUCCAAGACAUUUCAGGGUCGAGUCAAGACCAAGACCAUAUGAAAAAUCAUCUUGUGUGCAGUGGGCGUGUCGCUCACUUAAACCAUAAAACAGAGGAGGUUGUGGAUGUAGCCGGGGGAUAAAAAUCUAAUUAUGAAUGAAUUGAAAUGAUUUGUUCUGUAAGAAAUGGGAGUUUUCCUUCUAAUCAUGGUAAUGGCUUGGGAAAAUAGCCUUUCAGUGGUGGUCUUGAUUUAAAAUCCAGAGUCCACCCAGACUGAGACAAGACCGAGUAAAAAUGCUUUAGAUUCCGAGACCUUCAAAAAAGUGGUCUUGAGACCGGUCUUAUUUGAGUACUACAUAUACUACAACACUACAUUUUGGUUUCUGUGGAAGAUCCUGAUUGAUGAAAAAAAAAAGAUAAAUAAAUGAAAUA